rnacentral:rRNA from 1 species
CCUACGGGUGGCAGCAGUGAGGAAUAUUGGUCAAUGGGCGCGAGCCUGAACCAGCCAAGCCGCGUGAGGGAGGACGGCCCUACGGGUUGUAAACCUCUUUUGCCGGGGCGCAACGGGCGCCACGUGGGGCGUCACCGAGAGUACCCGGAGAAAAAGCAUCGGCUAACUCCGUGCCAGCAGCCGCGGUAAUACGGAGGAUGCGAGCGUUAUCCGGAAUUAUUGGGUUAAAAGGGUGCGUAGGCGGAUCGGUAAGUCAACGGUGAAAUUGAGGGGCUCAACCCCUUCCCGCCAUUGAAACUGGCGUUCUUGAGUGGAGGAGAGGUAUGCGGAAUGCGUGGUGUAGCGGUGAAAUGCAUAGAUAUCACGCAGAACCCCGAUUGCGAAGGCAGCAUGCCGGCUUCCGACUGACGCUGAAGCACGAAAGCGUGGGGAUCGAACAGGAUUAGAUACCCGAGUAGUC